rnacentral:lncRNA from 1 species
AAUAUAAGGGCCUGAUCCAAAUUUUUUUAAAAAAAUUCUCAUAUUUUAAAGCAUGUAGAAGAGAAAAAAAGAUAAAUAGAUUCAUGCGCUAUGCACGUGAGCAGGAGGAGGGGAGUCUUCCUCUUCUCCAUUUCUAGCUAGGAAAAGGGGUCCUAGGGCAACCAAACCCAAGGAUCCGUGUCUAUAAAAGAUCCCUUCCCCUCCUAGCCACCUUGCCUCAAAAUCUCUUCCAACAUCGGUA